rnacentral:sRNA from 1 species
CUCUUGCGCCUGCUGCGGGCAGAUAAAGUGGAUAUGAGCAUCGAUACCGCCGGCGGUGACAAUUUUCCCUCCUCCGCCACUACCUUGGUCCAGGGGCCGAUGGGCACCGUAACCCCCGGUUGGACAUCCGGAUUGCCGGCUUUGCCGAUGCACAGGAUACUGCCGUCCUUUACGCCGAUAUCCGCCUUCACGAUACCCCAGUGAUCGAUAAUCAGCGCGUUGGUGAGGACCAGAUCGACGCAGUACGCAGCGGUCAUUUACCCCUGCCCCAUCCCGUCGCGAA